rnacentral:rRNA from 1 species
UACGGGGGGGGCAAGCGUUGCUCGGAAUUACUGGGCGUAAAGGGCUCGUAGGCGGCCAACUAAGUCAGACGUGAAAUCCCUCGGCUUAACCGGGGAACUGCGUCUGAUACUGGAUGGCUUGAGUGUGGGAGAGGAAUGCGGAAUUCCAGGUGUAGCGGUGAAAUGCGUAGAUAUCUGGAGGAACACCGGUGGCGAAGGCGGCAUUCUGGACCAUUACUGACGCUGAGGAGCGAAAGCCAGGGGAGCAAACGGG